GAUGAACGCUGGCGGCGUGCCUAAUACAUGCAAGUCGAGCGAAUGGAUUAAGAGCUUGCUCUUAUGAAGUUAGCGGCGGACGGGUGAGUAACACGUGGGUAACCUGCCCAUAAGACUGGGAUAACUCCGGGAAACCGGGGCUAAUACCGGAUAACAUUUUGAACCGCAUGGUUCGAAAUUGAAAGGCGGCUUCGGCUGUCACUUAGGGAUGGACCCGCGUCGCAUUAGCUAGUUGGUGAGGUAACGGCUCACCAAGGCAACGAUGCGUAGCCGACCUGAGAGGGUGAUCGGCCACACUGGGACUGAGACACGGCCCAGACUCCUACGGGAGGCAGCAGUAGGGAAUCUUCCGCAAUGGACGAAAGUCUGACGGAGCAACGCCGCGUGAGUGAUGAAGGCUUUCGGGUCGUAAAACUCUGUUGUUAGGGAAGAACAAGUGCUAGUUGAAUAAGCUGACACCUUGACGGUACCUAACCAGAAAGCCACGGCUAACUACGUGCCAGCCGCCGCUGUAA
rnacentral:rRNA from 1 species